UUGAGAGUUUGAUCCUGGCUCAGAACGAACGCUGGCGGCAGGCCUAACACAUGCAAGUCGAACGGGAUCUUCGGAUCUAGUGGCGGACGGGUUAGUAACGCGUGGGAACGUACCCUUUUCUACGGAAUAGCCUCGGGAAACUGAGAGUAAUACCUUAUACGCCCUUCGGGGGAAAGAUUUAUCGGAGAAGGAUCGGCCCGCGUAAGAUUAGAUAGUUGGUGGGGUAAUGGCCUACCAAGUCUACGAUCUUUAGCUGGUUUGAGAGGAUGAUCAGCCACACUGGGACUGAGACACGGCCCAGACUCCUACGG
rnacentral:rRNA from 1 species